rnacentral:rRNA from 1 species
UUUGGUCAUCAUUGCGAUGGAGAUACACCUGUUCCCAUGUCGAACACAGAAGUUAAGUCCAUCUACGGCGGAAGUACUUGGGGUUGCCCCCU